rnacentral:rRNA from 1 species
UGCCAGCCGCCGCGGUAAUACGGAGGGUGCGAACGUUAAUCGGAAUUACUGGGCGUAAAGCGCGCGUAGGUGGUUUGAUAAGUGGGAUGUGAAAGCCCCGGGCUCAACCUGGGAACUGCAUUCCAAACUGCCAAGCUAGAGUAUGGUAGAGGGAGGUAGAAUUUCAGGUGUAGCGGUGAAAUGCGUAGAGAUCUGAAGGAACAUCAGUGGCGAAGGCGACCUCCUGGACUGAUAUUGACGCUGAGGUGCGAAAGCGUGGGGAGCAAACAGGAUUAGAUA